rnacentral:rRNA from 1 species
CCUACGGGAGGCAGUAGUGGGGGAUAUUGCACAAUGGGGGAAACCCUGAUGCAGCGACGCCGCGUGUGGGAAGACGGUCCUCUGGAUUGUAAACCACUGUCCCCAGGGACGAAGAUGACGGUACCUGGGGAGGAAGCUCCGGCUAACUACGUGCCAGCAGCCGCGGUAAUACGUAGGGAGCGAGCGUUGUCCGGAAUUACUGGGUGGAAAGGGAGCGUAGGCGGGACUGCAAGUUGGGGGUCAAAUCUACCGGCUCAACCGGUAGCCGCACUCAAAACUGCAGUUCUUGAGUGAAGUAGAGGCAGGCGGAAUUCCUGGUGUAGCGGUGAAAUGCGUAGAUAUUAGGAGGAACACCAGUGGCGAAGGCGGCCUGCUGGGCUUUUACUGACGCUGAGGCUCGAAAGUGUGGGGAGCAAACAGGAUUAGAUACCCCUGUAGUC